GAAUGAACACCCCGAGCUGGGUGACGGGCGCUGUCCCUCAGCCGAGGGGAGCAGGAGCGGCUGUCGUGGGUGUUCGUGCCGCUGCCUUCAGACGCCGCCGGGGCCGCACGGACCGCCCCGCACGCCCUUCAGCUGAAGGGAGCCAGGGCUGGGAACUGGCUCCGUCCUUCUGCACAGCCACGUCAGGAGUUUUCCCAGAAGUAGCCAGAAAGCUCCGGUAAUGCGGUGAGCUCCCAAUGAAAGAGCGGGGCUGCCGGGCUGCCAGCGCCGCGUAAAAUGCUAAAUCACGGCUCUGCGUAGUGGCCGUGACUGGUCCCUUGGCAGCCUCACCCGCGGGUAACCUCCCGAGCCCAGGGGAGGCAAGACUGAGGUGUGGUACAUCAAACUGCAAAAGCCCCCGAACUUCCCCCCCAUCUCUCCUCCAUGCAACUCCCGGCCCGUUCGCGGGCGCCGUGAGCCUGGCGGCAGCUGGUGCGCCCCUGCAGCAAGGCAGGAGUCGUGUUUGCUAAAGCACUAAUCGCCUUUCUAGUGGGGGGAUUCAAGCGCACUGGCAGCGGGAUGUCAGCAGCCCCUCCGGCCCCACCGCGCGGUACCAGCAUCACUUACUGGACCGCCCGGGUUUGGCGGCAGGACGGUGCUGUCCUGCCCGCAGACCUGCUGCCCGCAGCACACGCGAGAUGGCGAGCCUUGGGAAUGACCGCGCUGAAGCCUCGCUCCCUCCCUGACCGGGGACAGACAGCCCUUGCCACGGCAGGACCGUCGGACUCACCCUGCUGGAAACAUCGCCUAGCCGGAAGACAGCACCGGGAGAAAGGGGAAAACAGCGCCUCUGGUUCGAGGGGCUUUCCAGGAGCAGAAGAAAGAUAUGAAGCCUUCAUGAAAGACCAGAGGCCAGAGACAACCACCUGCUCAAAACACUCUCAAACCACUUCUCUGUUUACAAGUUUUACCACAACCUGCAAACACCUGGAGUACUAAAACCACACAGAGGCCAAGUACCUUCUGCUGGACGACACUUCAGAACAGGCAAGAUCAGAUAAAUUCAAAAAGCUCAGAAUCUACAAGUCCUUCUCCUGACCACAGAGUGGGUAUAGACUGUCAGUCAGAGAGGAAGUGCCUUCCAGCCCUCUUCUACCCUC
rnacentral:lncRNA from 1 species